CGCAUACUCCCUCCAUCCGAAAAAGCUUGUCCCUCAAAUAGAUGCAUUUAGCACCAAGUUAGUGCUAGAUACAUCCAUUGGAUGGACAAGCUUGGGACAAGCUUUUUCGGACGGUGGGAGUACAAA
rfam:Triticum aestivum genome assembly, contig: Triticum_aestivum_CS42_TGACv1_scaffold_272489_3DS